CUUCUCUCUUCCACGAUGCUUCUGCGGGAUGUUCCGCCGCCGGCGACCUCUCUCCAGUCCCUAACUCCGGCGCAACCGCCCCCUCUCCCCCUCCAGCCAGCAUGAAGUCCUGAUGUAGACCUACCCCCGUCCGUCGUCCUCUUCUCCAGUAUUGUUCCGGCGGCGGCGGCGGCGGCCUUGGCCCUUGGCCUCCGCGUGGAUGCGCUCAAGGUGAAGAACGACAUAACCUGCGCAAGGACACCAUCCAGCUCGUGCCCGACCCCGAAGACCCGGACCGCCGCCUCGUUUCCUUCACCUUCGAGGCGGUCACAGACAACAGCUUGCUUAAAGAAUACUUCGCCAAGGAAAAGAGUGCAGUUUUUCUUCAGUGUAUCCUGACUUACAGACACCAACAAAGAGGAAUUAUUCCCACUGGUUGUGUGCGCAGAAGCUUGUCCGUUUCCUGAGGAAGCAGGUUGUGCAGGUCACCGCGUGGCUGCAUGACCCUGCUCUGUGCCAAAGAAGCUGACAGUUACGGUGCCGGCGCCUGAUGUGCUGCCUACGCAGCCCAGCUUAGACGAGGACGUCGAGUCGCCCCCAUCUCCAAGCUCCCCUACGCAGAAGCGCACGCAGGAGUACAAUCUUCUUCUGCGUGAAUGAGGUCAUUUACCGCGGCCCUUUGAUGAUGGACGGAAGCGAUUUUUACCUUGACGAUGAC